UCUCUCCUAACUUUACCACUGAUUAGAUGGAUGUGGUCGGUUGAUGGUAAAAUUGGCACCAAAUCUUACUUUUCUGUAACCCAUUCCUUGUAAUGUGAUCUUGCAGCAACUCUCAGAAAGAAGAGUCUAUGUCCCUGUACACAGAAUCUGGCUUGACUUUGCGACUUGCUUUCACCAAUCAAAUGCAGAAGAAGUGAAGUCUGGUCCUCAGGAGGUUUUGUACUCCUCUGCUGACUCUCCUGGGAUGCUAAAAACGCCAUGAGUCCUAGUUACGACUAACUUACAUGGCCUAGUCACCUCCAUUGUCCAAGCCAAUAGGUACCCAGCCAUCACACCUAGAGUGAGGCCAUUCCAAUCUCCAGCUGAUCUGCUGUGGAUGAGCAUGGCCAAGAUCAACUGAGCUUGGCUCAGAUGAGCAAGACUCCCUGGAUAACCUACAAUCUUGUGGAGAAAUGGAGGCACUCAUGGAUCAAGCAUUUUCCCAGGGCCACAUAGUUAAUGUAGCACUUAGAAGACUGGGUAUCUUUUUCAAUGCCACAUAGUAGCACAGCUAGGAGUUGAACCAGGCAGUCUGGUGCUACAGGCCAUACAUUUUGACAUGUGUUUUGUUGCCUCUUGACAAAGUCCAUGGACUGUGAUCCUGGGACCAACAGCAUCAGUAUCAACUGGGAACUUCUUAGAAAUUCAAAUUCUUGGGGCUAUUCCCCAAAUUUCUGAGUCAGAAGCUCUGGGGAUAGGGCCCAGCAAGCUAUGUGUUAACAGACUUUUUAGAUCAGGGGUUCCCCCCAACUCCCAGGCCAAGAACCAGUACCAGUCUGUGGCCUGUUAGGAACCAGGCUGCACAGCAGGAGGUGAGGGCAGGUGAGCAUUACUGCCUGAGCCCUGCCUCCUCCUAUCAGAUCAGUGGUGUCAUGGCAUUAGAUUCUCACAGGAUCAAGAACCAUAUUGUGAACUGCACACACAAGGGAUAUAGGCUGCAUGCUCCUUAUAAGCAUCUAAUGCCUGAUGACCUGAGCUAGAACAAUUUCAUCCUGAAACCAC
rnacentral:lncRNA from 1 species